AAGUCGUGGGGGAAAGAAGCCAAGAGCCAUCUCCACUCUGGGGUAGGGCCCUUCAGUUUCGCCCCUUUGAAAUUUCAAAUUCCAGUUUGUGGACAAAGUCCUAACUAUCUCACAAUAUAGGUCCCCAACCACUGACCAAACUCCAGUCCAGACAGCCACCUGGCUCGAGGCUGGCCCAGCUUUGCCUCUUCCUUUGGCGGCUCUGAAGGUCUGGGAGUAGGGGGACACCCCUGCAGCCCCAUCCACCCACCAGGACCUCGGCCCCUCAUUGCAGAGGGCUGGCUUCUCCCUGGAGCUGGCAUCUGACGCUGGCUGGUACGACAGCAGACACCAGACCAGAGGCACGGAGAGGUUGAGACUGUGCCCAAAUUCACACAACUGAUGAGAAACAAGAGGCAAAAGUCUGGCCAGAGUCUGUGCUCCUAACCCCGAGGCUGCCCAGCCUUUCCACAUGGCAGAGGCUCACUAUAUCGCCCUCCAUAGAGUGCUAUGGCAUCACAGCUCACAGCAACCUCAAACUCCUGGGCUUAAGUGAUUCUCUUCCCUUAGCCUCCCAAGUAGCUGGGACUACAGGCACCCUCCACAAUGCCCAGGCCCAGGAGGACUACACUUUCAUGCUUCCUUUGAAGCUACGUGUGACUUGUUUUGGCCAAUGAGAUGUGAGCAGAAAACAACUUGUGUUAUUCCCGGGCAGAAGCUUUAAGAGCCAGUGUUGUAGCUUGGAAGGAAGAAUAGAUACAGAGUCACCACGGAGAGGAGAACCCCUGAUGAUCUACAGUGGACAUGUUGGGACAAGAUGUGAAAGCUAUGCCCCUUGAGCAAUCAUUGAAAAUCCAAAGGAGUCCUACGUAUUGAACAAGAGGAGAGAAGUGGUAUGGUACAGUGUUCGAGGCCAUUGCUGUUGAGAUAGCAAUGGCACCAUCUACACAGCUGUUUGAACUUUCAAAAACCAUAGGCUCUUUAAGCAUGAUUUUCUUCAUCUAAAAAAUAGGAAUCAGUAAUAGGACAUGUUGGGUGGUGCCUGUGGCUCAGUGGGUAGGGCGGCCCCAUAUACCGAGGGUGGUGUGUUCAAACUCAGCCCCAACCAAACUGCAACAAAAAAAUAGCCGGGCAUUGUGGUGGGCUUCUGUAGUCUCAGCUACUUGGAGGCUGAGGCAAGAGAAUCUCCUAAGCCCAGGAGCUGGAGGUUGGUGUGAGCUGUGUGAUGCCAUGGCAUUCUACCAAGGAUGAUAAAGUGAAAUUCUGUCUCUACAAAAAAAAAAUAAUAAAAUAAUAAUAAUAGGACCUCUUUAUAGACUUCUUUGCAGAAUAAAUGUGAUAAGUCUUAUAAACCUGACAUGUAGUCACCCAACUUGUAAUUGUGUUACUUACAAAUUCAAAGUAGUUCCCUUUGGAAAACAGUGCUUGCUGAUUCUUAAAACUCCAGAGGACAAACCAGGACCAAUAGGUGAAUGCUACUGGGAGCAAAGCUUAGGCUCAAAAUGACCCUUGUAUCAGACACAAUUGUUCUACCAGAGAAAAAGCUGCUUUGUUAAAUAGUAAGUGUCCUGUCAUUGGAAGAAUUAAGCCCGAGCUAAAUGAGCACCUGCCAGGGAGGAUGGUGAGAGAAUUCAAGGAAUAGGUCAGAGAUCUAAUCAAAGCAGUAUCUCACAGGUGCAAACAUCUUAAAUAAAAUACUAUCAAAACAGCUGAGCAUGAUGGCUCAUGUCUGUAAUCUUAGCACUCUUGAGAGGAUGGGGGGAGGGUGUCCCUUGAACUCAGGAGUUUGAGACCAGCCUGAGCAAAAGUGAGACCCUAUCUCUACUAAAAAUAGAAAAACUAGCCAGAUUUUGUGGUGGGUGCUUGUAGUCCCUCCCUACUCAGGAGGCUGAGGCGAGAGGACUGCUCAAACCCAAGAGUAUGAGAUUGCUGUGAACUAUGACGCCACGGUACUCUACCUAUGGUGAUCCAGUGAGACUCUGUCUCAAAAAAAAAAAAAAUACUAUCAAAACCAAAUUCGUGUUGGGGAAACUGAAUAUCCAUAGGUAAAAGAAUGAAAUUGGGCUUUUUUUCUUUAUAACAUAUGCAAAAAAGUAACUAAAAAUGGAUUAGACCUAAAACUAUAAAACUCUUAGAAUAAAACACACAGGAAAAGUUUCAUGACAUUAGACACGCAGUGACUUCUUGGAUAUGACACCAUAAGCACAGGCAAUUAAAAAAAUUAAAUAGGCUCAGUGCUCAUAGCACAGUGGUUAUGGCGCCAGCCACAUACACUGAAGUUGGUGUAUGUUAGCCCUGGCCAGCUAAACAACAAUGACAACUGCAACAAAAAAUAGCCAGACAUUAUGGCGGGUGCCUGUAGUCCCAGCUACUUGGGAAGCUGAGACAAGAGAAUCGCUUGAUCCCAAGAGUUUGAGGUUGCUGUGAGCUGAGAUGCCAUGGCACUCUACUGAGGGUGAUAUAGUGAAACUCUGUCUCAAAAAAAAAAAUUAGAUAAAUUGAACUAUAUGGAAAUUAAAAACUUUUGUGUACCAAAGAGCACUAAUAACAGAGUGAAAAGGCAACCCAUUAAAUGGGAGAAAAUAUUUGUAAAUCAUGUACCUGAUGAAGGGUUAAUACACAGAUUAUAUAAAGAACACCAACAACUUAACAACAACAAAAAUAACAACUCUAGGCCUGGCAUGGUGGUUCAUGCCUAUAAUCCUAGCACUAUGGGAGGCCGAGGCAGGUGGAUUGCCUGAGCUCAGAGGUUUGAGACAGCCUGAGCCAGAGCAAGACCUUGUCUCUAAAAAUACAGCCAGGCAUUCUGGUGGGUGCCUGUAGACCCAGCUUCUUGGGAGGCUAAGGCAAGGGGAUCGCUUGAGCCCAAGAGUUUGAGGUUGCUAUGAGCUGUGAUGCCACAGUACUCCACAGAGGGCAACAAAGUGAGACUCUAUCUCAAAACAAAAAACAAACAAACAAACAAAAAAAACAAACUUUAUUUAAAAAUGGGCAAAGGAGGGUGGUGCCUGCUGCUCAAGGAGUAGGGUGCUGGCCCCAUAUACCAGGGGUGGCAAGUUCAAGCUCGGCCCCGGCCCAAAAACUGCAAAAAAAAAAAAAAAUGGGCAAAAGAAUUAAAUAGACAUUUUUUCUGAAGAAGACAUGCAAAUAACCAAUAAGCAUAUAAGAAGAUACUUAACAUCAUUAAUCAUUAAGGACAUGUAAAUCAAAAGCACAAUAAGAUACCACUUCAUACCUGCUGGGAUGGAUAUUAUAAAAUAACAACAAAAAAGGAAAAUAACAAAUAUUAGUGAACAUGGAGAAAAACCAUGCACUGCUGGUGGGAAUUUAAAAUAGGGCUAGGGAAAGCAGUAUGGCAGUUCCUCAAAAUAUUAAAAAUAGAAUUACCAUAUGAUCCUACAAUUGCACUUCUGAUGUGUAUCAAAAAAAUUGAAAGUAGGAUCUGGAGGAGAUAUUUGUAUAACCAUGGUUAUAGCAGCAUUAUUCAUAAUAGCCAAAAGGUGGAAGCAACCCAAGUGUCCAUCAGUGGAUGAAUGGUUAAAUAAAAUGUGGUAUAUCCUUAAAAUGGAAUAUUAUUCAACCUUAAAAAGGAAAGAAAUUCUGCCACAUGGUACUACUAUAUAGAUGACUCUUCAGGGCAUUAUGCUAAGGGAAAUAAGGCAGCCAUAAAAGUACAAAUACUAUGUGAUUCCAUUCAUGUAUAAAAGAUGUUUCUACAAGUGCUAAAAAAAAGUUCCUACCAAUUGAUAUGCGAAGAAAAAUAAUGCAAUAGAAAAAUGGGUAAAGGAUAUGAAGAAGCACACUCACAGCGGAGGAAACCCAAAUGAUACAAAGAACAUCUUCUAUAGUAAGAGAGGAAAUGUGAUUAUAAAGUGAAGUAUCAUUUUAUAUGAAUUAUCUUACAAAAUCAAGGCCCAAUGAGGAUUCAAAGCAACCCUAACUCCUGAACACCACUGGCUGAAGUGUUAUGGGUAGGUGAGUGUGAGCAAUUUACCAAUAGCUCAUGAAAGUGAAGAUGUCCAUUGCCUGAGAUCCAGAAAUUCCACUCCUGCAUGUUACCCUAGUGAAACUCCCAUCCACAGGUAUAAGAAUGUUCUUGGGAGUGUCAUUGAAGAUAGUGACAAAUUGGAAAAAACUCCAUUGUCAAAAAACAGAAUAAAACCAGGUGCAGUGGCUUGUACCUGAAAUCCCAGCACUUGGGUGGCUGAGGUGGGUGGAUUGCCUGAGCUCACAAGUUCGAGACCAGCCUGAGCAAGAGCGAGACCCCCGUCUCAAAAAAAUAGCCGGGUGUUGUGGUGGGCGCCUGUAGUCCCAGCUACUUGGGAGGCUGAGGCAAGAAAAUUGUGUAAGCCCAAAAGUUUAAGGUUGCUGUGAGCUGUGAUGCCAUGGCACCCUAUCAAGGGUGACAAAGUGAGAUUCUGCCUCAAAGAACAAACAAAAAAAAGAACAGAAUAAAGGUACUUUGGAUAUUCAUACACAGCAUUUUAAAUAGGUGAUCUACUAAAAAGCCAUUAUGUGGAGUAAAUGAAAGUUGCUGAAGGAUGCUUAUGAUGUACCAUUUAAACAAAUUUUCCAGGGGAGAGAACUGUGACUCAUGCCUAUAAUCCCACCACUUUGAGAGGUUGAGGUGGGAGCAUCCCUUGGGACCAGGAGUUUGAGACCAGCCUGGGCAACAUGAUGAGACCCCUUCUGAACAAAAAAUAUAAAAUAUUAGCCAGGUGUGGAGGCAUGGGCCUGUAGUCCCAGCUACUUGGGAGGCUAAGCCACGAGGAUGACUUGACCUUGGGAGGUUGAGGCUGCCGUGACCUAUGUUAAUGCCACUACAUUCCAGCCUAAGUGACAGAGUGAGACCCUGUAAAAAGAUAGAUAUCCCAGAUAUGCAAAAUAAUAUUAUAUAUCAUGUAUGUGACCAUGUCUGGUAAAGGUAUGAAAACAUGUCUAGUGAUGAUAAACACGAAAGGUUGACAGUGGUUACCUAUGAGAAAGGUAUCAGGGGGAGGACAGAGCGCCUCAACUCUAAGUACAAUGUUUUAUUUUUUAUUAUAAUAAAAAAAGAAUCCAAAGAAAAUAUUGCCAUGUCAUAGGAUUUGAGAAAUUGAACAGUGAAUACAUUGAUUUUCACAAUAUUAUUCUAUUUUCUGCAUAGUUAUAAUUUUCCUUCUUUAAAAAACAGAGAAAAGAGACUAAGAAAGAAAAACCAACUGCCUUCCUAUAUAACAGCAACAGAUAAUUUGGUAGUAUAAUUUUUAAAAAAUAAGUCUGGUAGGUUUGAAUCUGGCCUGGGCCAGCUAAACAAUAAUGACAACUGUAAUAAAAAAUAGCCGGGCGUUGUGGUAAGUGCCUGUAGUCCCAGCUACUUGGGAGGCUGAGGCAAGAGAAUCACUUAAGCCCAAGAGUUGGAGGUUGCUGUGAGCUAUGACGCCAAGGGCGACAAAGCUCAUGAGACUCUGUCUCAAAAAUAAUAAUAAUAAUACUUAAUAAUACUUUAAAAUACUUAAUACUUUAAUAAUACUUAAAAUAAUACUAGAAAAUUUGUACACUGACAAACAACCAUGAGAAAAAGUCCAGAAAACUAUUUUUAAAAAACAGCAAGGAAUAUUCGAAAAUAUAGUAUUUCUCCUUCUAGGGUCAGAGAAAGCUGUAACAACAGGUGUUGUGUUUUUCAAGGGCACCUGUGUAGGGGCCCUGCACGCUGUCUCUUAGAUGGAGUGGCCAAGGCAUUGCCAUGUGUCUAAGAAGUUCUCUGAUGUGAAAUUUUGCAGCUUUCCUUAAUCCAAUCUUUUUCAAACAUCUAACAAUAGACUCCUUCUGUCUGAGUGGUCUCGUCUCGGGCAAGGCUAACUUAGUGACCUCAAUGUUCCCUUUCCAUUCCACCUGUCCACUGCUCUGUUCCGGGCUCUGCCACUAACACGUAAGACUUUGGCUUAAUUGCCUUUCCUCUUGGGCCUCAGUUUAUUAAGCUAUUAUGUGGGUGUGUGAAGUUUAAACUAUAAUGUCUCUUACCUUUUCCCUGCUCUAAAACCUGGUGUUGGAGCCCUAAGUGUAGAUGACAUUUUCACUUAAUUUUAUCCCUCUUUCACUGAUUAACUUUUUCUUACUUUAACUAAAUCAGAAAGUAGAGGAAUUAUGAAAACACAGAGAAGUAAAACAAAAAAGAACCAAAUUUACUCUCCCCAAAUGUCACUUGUCAAAAGGUAAAAUGAUAGCUGGUGUUUAUGGAGCCUUCGUGCUGAGGACAAACUAAGAUAGCUCAUUUAACUUCUUAUCCUCAUUGAACAGAUGAGAUGACUGUACAGUGUACAGAUGAGGGUCAGAGCGGUAAAGUGACUGUCCAAGGGCAUAAAGCUGGAGUAGCUCUGACUCUGCAGCACAAAUUCUCAGCCACUACCACAGUAGGCCUCCUCCUGUGAAGGGACCCUUCAUUGCUGCCAAGAUUCCUUUUCCUCCCAACUCCCUAAGUUUUCAGGGUUCUCUCAUCUCUCGAGAGGAACUAUGGACCCAGUCUCUUCCAAAAACAAAACUCUGCACCUCCACUGUACCCAGACCUGUGUCCUUCCCCCAAACUCAGCCCACCUUCUCUCUAGAAAAACUAUCAACUUGAGCUGGAGAAGGGGAAAAAAAUAAGCCUCUCCCCAUCCCAACUCCACCCCUCAAAUCUCUGGAUUUGGGGUAAAUUCACAAGCUAGGGGACAGAAGAAUGGGUGUGUAAUUAAGUUUCAAAUUGACCAUUGUUUUAUGUGAAUGUUUGAUAAAGAGAACACAAUGGCUGCCAGAUGGGGGCUGGGAGUGAGAGUUCCCAUGUGGACAAUUCUAGAAGAUACGCCUGGAGUCCUGGAGCCUGGCCUCUGACUGAAGGGGUAGCUAGGCUACAAGGCGAAGACACCAAAGAUAAUUUGGGUGUGGGGAGGAGACGCAGCUAAAGAGGUUUGGCUGGAAGUGGUCCAUUCAGUAAUAGAAAAUGGAGACAGAAUAAGUUAGCAGCGAAUUGAAGGGACUAGACCAGUGCUGCCUAGUAGAACUACAAGUGCAAUACACGGAUGUAAUUUUAAAUGUUCUCAUAGUCACAUUUUAAAAAGCAGUAAAUCUACAGAAACAGAAGAUUGCUCUUACAUAUAAUGAGCUUUCCCUUGGUCUUAGCAAUCCCAAACUUAAGAGCCCUUGAUGCCCAGAGGGGUAACUGAAACAUAAGGAACAGAUGGGGGUAUGAGAAAUUUCACUCUCCUGUAAGAAAAACAAUGCAGCAGAUAUAAUGGUUUAUAUUCAUUGAUAUAAUAUCAGUGUAGGGACACUAAGGAAUAGUGGGGACUGUGGCAAAUUUGAGAAAGCACACCCAAUAGAAGUCCCAGGAGACUCCUCCUCAUGCAUAUAGGGGGAAUCACUGUUGCUAAAACUUUUUUCUUUUUUGAGGCAGGGCCUCACUCUGUUGCCAAGGGUGGAAUGCAGUGGUGUCAUCAUAGCUCACUGCAACCUCAAACUCCUGGGGUUAAGCUAUCCUCCUGCCUCUUGAGUAGCUGAGACUACACACCUGGCUAAUUUUUCUAUUAUUUGUAAAGAUGGAGUCUUGCUUUUGCUCAGGCUGGCCUCAAACUGCUGACAUGGGGCAGUCCUCUAGCCUCUGACUCCCAAAGUGCUAAGAUUAUAGGCAUAAGCCACGCCCUCUCUCAGUUUCUAAUUUUUUGAAAGAAACUGGAAGUCAAGAUUUUUAAAGGUUAACAGUCAAUUCAGAUUUUAUUUUUUGAAAAAUUCAGUGGGCUGCCGGGUGCAGCGGCUCAUACCUGUAAUCCCAGCACUGGGAGGCUGAGGCUGGAGGAUUGCUUGAGCUCAGGAGUUCGAGGCUUGUUGGAGUGAGAGUGAGGCCCCGACUCAUGAAACAAAUUGAAAAACCCAACCCGGUGCCACGGCGAGCACCUGUAAUCCCAGUGGCUUCAGAUUCUGAGCCAGCAGGAUGCCCACAGCCCAAGUGUGAGGUUGCAGUGAGCUAGGACACCAUUGCACUCUGCUCAGGGCAUAGGGUAGAAUUCUGUCUCUACCAAAACAAACAAACAAAAAAAAAACAACAAAAAAUUGGGCUGGACCUCAACCUCUGGUCUCUUUUAAACCACUUUUUUUUUUUUUUUUUGAGACAGAGUCUCACUAUGUUGCCCUGGAUAGAGUGUCAUGGCCUCACAGCUCACAGCAACCUCAAACUCAUGAGCUUAAGCCAUUCUCCUGCCUCAGCCUCCCAAGUAGCUGGGACAACAGGCGCCCACCACAAAACGCCCGCCUAUUUUGUUGUUGUUGUUGUCAUUGUUGUUUAGUUGGCCUGGGCUGUGUUCAAACCCACCAGCCCCAGUGUAUGUGGCCAGUGCCCUAACCGCUGAGCAUGGGCGCCAAGUCUCCUUUAAAGCAUUUUUACAAGUUUAAAUCAUAUCGUGCAGAAGAGGAAACUGAGGUUCAGAAUGGUUAAAUGUUUUCCCAUCUCACAGCAAAGACCAGGAAUUAGCUCUUCAGGUUCCCAUCCCUGGUCAUUUCUGCUAUGAAGCUAAUAACAAACAUUGCUUUUCCGCUGUUGAGCGUUUACUCAAGGCCAGGUUCUGUACUGUGCAUACAAUAUUAGGAUGACACCGUGCAGGGGGUACUGUUUGGGUAACUGAGGCUCAGAAAAGUCAAGAAAAUUGCCCAAGGUCACACUGUGGGGCUUGAAUCUGAGUCUAUGGGUGAUUACAAGCUUCUAGAUGCUUCCACCUGCUACACUCCCUUCCGCUUCACCAGGCUGAAGAACCUCAGAGAAUAAGGAGUCCAGUCGUUUCCACCUGGGGCUCCUCUGAGGGGCAAGGGGCUAAGGGUGGGCAGCCUCCUGAACCUCACACUUGCUUUAUUUAACCCUUGCGCCUCGCAGAUCCUUCCUGUGAACUGCCUUCCGGGUAAGAUUUUGUUUGAAGAACGUUUUCACUGACUUUUUUUCCCCCCCGAAAACCACCUAUCUGCCCAUGCUUUCUCAGUUUAGGCCCAGAGAUGGCACGUUAGGACCAGGGUGGGACCACACCUGGGUUCCUUCCUUGGUCUUCAUAUUGAGCCUGAGGACAGCUGAGUCCCGCCUGAGAAGCUGCCCAAGGGUGUGUGCCCUGGCCUCUCUCGGCUCUGCCCAGGGAAGGGCCGCCUGCCUUCUGCCUGCCUCACCACCUCCUCCGCCUAUUUGAAUAACUUUUUGACCUGUUCUUAGUAAGCUCCCAAGGCAUGGCUGCCUCCACUGUUUGUCCCAGGGAACCCUGGGGCCUUUGCAGUUGGGUGGCCCAGGUGUGGUCAGUCCCACUGCAGACAGUUGUCAAACAGAGGCUGUCUGGGCAGAGGGAGGCCUGUUUACCCAGGGCAGAGCCCAGGCAGAGGCUGCAGCUUCCUCCUUACGUCACUGACCCAUCCAGCUGCUCAGCACACUGACUCAGCUGUCCUCAUCUGUAUUUGCUCAUUCCACAAACAUUUAUGGAGCACCUACUGUGUGCCAAGCAUUGUUCUCCAAGAUGGGGAUAUGGCAGGGAGCAAGACAGUCCGAUUCCCUGCGGUAAUGGAACGUCUGUUGUAAUGAAGGAGAUAAAGGGUAAACAGAUCUAUGGACGUGUAAUGUCAGAGCUAUAGAGGGUAAUGGGAUUGGCCAUGAUGGAGGAGGUGGGCCAGUCUUAGAUUUGGGUGUUCAAGGUAGGCCCCUCUGAGUGGAGGCCAUUCGAGCUAAAGCUCAACCUGAGAGAAAAAAUGAGCUACGGGAAGGUCUGGGGAAAGGUGUUCUCAGCAGAGGGAACUAUAAGGACAAAGGCCCUGAGGUAGUAGAGCACUUAGCUUGGCUGAAAGGCAGUCAGAGGCCAGUGUGGCUGACAGGAGUCAGCAAAAGGGAGAAAGACAAGAGACCAUCAGACAAGAGACAGAGCCUGCAGGGCCUUUUGGGGCAAAGAAAAGAGCUUGAGCUUUCUUAAGGGUGAUGCAAAUCCCUUAGAGAGUUUUCAGCUGGGAUUUGACCCUGAACUUCUCCUGUAAUGCUGCUUUUUCCCCUCCAUGACUUUCUGCCCCAAUUCUUGGGUGUUUGAAAUUAGUCUCCUUUCCUUUCUAACUUUUGUUUUUUUUUCU